GACGAACGCUGGCGGCGUGCUUAACACAUGCAAGUCGAACGGAAAGGCCCUGCUUGCAGGGUGCUCGAGUGGCGAACGGGUGAGUAACACGUGGGUGAUCUGCCCCUUACUUUGGGAUAAGCCUGGGAAACUGGGUCUAAUACUGGAUAGGACCAUGCUGUAGGUGGUGUGGUGGAAAGAUUAGUUUCGGUAAGGGAUGAGCUCGCGGCCUAUCAGCUUGUUGGUGGGGUAAUGGCCUACCAAGGCGUCGACGGGUAGCCGGCCUGAGCGGGUGGACGGCCACAUUGGGACUGAGAGACGGCCCAGACUCCUACGGGAGGCAGCAGUGGGGAAUAUUGCACAAUUGGCGCAAGCCUGAUGCAGCGACGCCGCGUGGGGGAUGACGGCCUUCGGGUUGUAAACUCCUUUCAGCCAUGACGAAGCCCUUGUGGUGACGGUAGUGGUAGAAGAAGCACCGGCUAACUACGUG
rnacentral:rRNA from 1 species